rnacentral:rRNA from 1 species
AUUGAACGCUGGCGGCAUGCCUUACACAUGCAAGUCGAACGGCAGCACGGGGCAACCUGGUGGCGAGUGGCGAACGGGUGAGUAAUGCAUCGGAACGUACCUUUCAGUGGGGGAUAACGUAGCGAAAGUUACGCUAAUACCGCAUAUUCUGUGAGCAGGAAAGCAGGGGAUCGCAAGACCUUGCGCUGAUUGAGCGGCCGAUGUCAGAGUAGCUAGUUGGUGAGGUAAAGGCUCACCAAGGCGACGAUCUGUAGCGGGUCUGAGAGGAUGAUCCGCAACACUGGAACUGAGACACGGUCCAGACUCCUACGGGAGGCAGCAGUGGGGAAUUUUGGACAAUGGGGGCAACCCUGAUCCAGCCAUGCCGCGUGAGUGAAGAAGGCCUUCGGGUUGUAAAGCUCUUUCGGCCGGGAAGAAAUCGCACGGGCUAAUACCCUGUGUGGAUGACGGUACCGGAAUAAGAAGCACCGGCUAACUACGUGCCAGCAGCCGCCGUAA